UACAAGCCAUUCACUGCCUCAAAGAAAUGGUUUUGGGUUCUUAUCCCAUUUGGGACCAAAUAUCAACAACUCUUUCUUCUCACUUGUAAACAUUCUUCAUGCAUCUCUAGCACUUGUAAUCAAUCAAAUUCAUUGUAUUAUAACAUAUACUAACCCAAAAUAACUUUAUCCAAGCCAUUCACUGCCUAGAAGCAAUGGUUUUGGGUUCUUAUC
rnacentral:lncRNA from 1 species